GAAAGCGGUGCUAAUACCGGAUAAGACCACAGCCGUUUCGGCGGCAGAGGUAAAAGCUGACCUCUCCAUGGAAGUUAGCGUUCGAAGACGGGCCCGCGUCCUAUCAGCUUGUUGGUGGGGUAAAGGCCUACCAAGGCAGCGACGGGUAGCUGGUCUGAGAGGAUGAUCAGCCACACUGGAACUGGAACACGGUCCAGACUCCUACGGGAGGCAGCAGUGAGGAAUUUUGCGCAAUGGGGGAAACCCUGACGCAGCAACGCCGCGUGGGUGAAGAAGGCUUUCGGGUCGUAAAGCCCUGUCAGGUGGGAAGAAACUCUUCAGUACUAAUAAUGCUGAAGCCUGACGGUACCACCAGAGGAAGCACCGGCCAACUCCGUGCCAGCAGCCGCGGUAAUACGGAGGGUGCAAGCGUUGUUCGGAAUUAUUGGGCGUAAAGAGCGUGUAGGCGGCUUGGUAAGUCAGAUGUGAAAGCCCUGGGCUCAACCCAGGAAGUGCAUUUGAAACUACCAGACUUGAGUACGGGAGAGGAGGGGGGAAUUCCCGGUGUAGAGGUGAAAUUCGUAGAUAUC
rnacentral:rRNA from 1 species